GAUGAACGCUGGCGGCGUGCUUAACACAUGCAAGUCGAACGGAAAGGCCCUGCUUUUGUGGGGUGCUCGAGUGGCGAACGGGUGAGUAACACGUGAGUAACCUGCCCUUGACUUAGGGAUAACUUCAGGAAACUGGGGCUAAUACCGGAUAUGAGCUCCUGCUGCAUGGUGGGGGUUGGAAAGUUUCGGCGGUUGGGGAUGGACUCGCGGGUUAUCCGCUUGUUGGUGGGGUAGUGGCUUACCAAGGCUUUGACGGGUAGCCGGCCUGAGAGGGUUACCGGCCACAAUGGGACUGAGAUACGGCCCAGACUCCUACGGGAGGCAGCAGGGGGGAAUAUUGCAGAAUGGGCGGAAGCCUGAUGCAGCAACGCCGCGUGCGGGAUGACGGCCUUCGGGUUGUAAACCGCUUUCGCCUGUGACGAAGCGUGAGUGACGGUAAUGGGUAAGGAAGCACCGGCUAACUACGUG
rnacentral:rRNA from 1 species